rnacentral:rRNA from 1 species
UAAUACGUAGGUGGCAAGCGUUGUCCGGAAUUAUUGGGCGUAAAGCGCGCGCAGGCGGUCCUUUAAGUCUGAUGUGAAAGCCCACGGCUCAACCGUGGAGGGUCAUUGGAAACUGGGGGACUUGAGUGCAGGAGAGAAGAGUGGAAUUCCACGUGUAGCGGUGAAAUGCGUAGAGAUGUGGAGGAACACCAGUGGCGAAGGCGACUCUUUGGCCUGUAACUGACGCUGAGGCGCGAAAGCGUGGGGAGCAAACAGGAUUAGAUACCCUGGUAGUCCACGCCGUAAACGAUGAGUGCUAAGUGUUAGAGGGUUUCCGCCCUUUAGUGCUGCAGUAAACGCAUUAAGCACUCCGCCUGGGGAGUACGGCCGCAAGGCUG